UACGGAGGGUGCAAGCGUUAUCCGGAUUUACUGGGUUUAAAGGGUGCGUAGGUGGGCAGGUAAGUCAGUGGUGAAAUCUCCGGGCUUAACCCGGAAACUGCCAUUGAUACUAUCGGUCUUGAAUUUCCUGGAGGUAAGCGGAAUAUGUCAUGUAGCGGUGAAAUGCUUAGAUAUGACAUAGAACACCAAUUGCGAAGGCAGCUUACUACGG
rnacentral:rRNA from 1 species